rnacentral:misc_RNA from 1 species
GUAGAUAACAACAAACAAGAUGAGGACACCUAUCUGCCGUCCAUUGUAAAUAAUGUACAAAUAUGUCUGGGACGCUUUCUCUUUUGACUUCAGGAAAAUAUUUAGUUUCUAUAUUGAAAUCUCUUUGUAAACAUAUAUACUCGAAGUAUACUUUAGAUAGAUUUCAACUAUUAUUGGCUGAACAGCACUACGUUGCAGUGUAGGGAGGGGGUCAUUUAUGUCAUACUUUGGGAAAUCAUUGCCCACUUGAGUCGAGAUUUGUUGUGUGUCGAAAUAUAUUCAUGUCUCAAUGGUUUGUCUGAUAUCUCCGGGAGGAAUUUGUUCAGGCAUUGAUGACUGCUUUAGCAAUGAUAUGCCCAGAAGAUCCUUACCUGUUCAUUAUCAACAAACUUUUGCAUAUCAAAGAACAAGGACUUCAAUCUGUUCAUUGGGACAUGUUUCUUGAUGAGACUAUUAAAUCCAGGAGAGCAUUGUAUAAAUGCAGAUUUGAAUUUUCUUUUGAAGAUGAUGAAGAUGAAAAUGUAUGAGAUAAUAUCUCUGUUUAUCACUACACUUUCUUUCUCUCUCUCUCUCUCUGUGUAUAUAUAUAUAUAUAUAU